AGAAAGAGGAUGAGGGACUGAGGAGGAGGAGGGACUGAGGAGGAGGAGGGCGGUCUGAAGGUCGUGCUUCAUCCUCCGUCUGUAAACCUGCAGCCCUGAAGACAAUGUUUCUGCCGCUGUGCUGUGUGACGGACAGCUGCCCACACACUCCGAAGCCCCUCCCACCUGUAUGGUACACACACACACACUGACCGACUGACUGACCGACUGACCGACUGACUGACUGACUGACUGACUGACUGACUGACUGACUCCUUCAUAAAGAAGUGAAGAUAUUUCUUUUUAAACCAAAGUCGUUUCACUAUUGCUGUUUUUUCUUUCCUUCAUGUUUUAAAGAAGACGUUUGUAAUACCUCCUCAUCCCCUCUCCUAGGUUGUACUACCUAGAUGAACUCGACUAGAGAUACGAAGCUAGAUAGCUAGCGCGGUCGAGUGCUAUUAUCGUUUUAGUUACGUUCUGAAUCGCACUUACAGAUGAAUUGCCUUAUUUGUAAUUUACCAACGCAGCCUUGAAUACAUUACAAGCCUUAAUGCCUUCUGCGUGCUCUUAGCACUCAGGCACUGAACGAUUCUACGUUGAGAAUGGGUCCAUGUUUCACACGUGCACUAACGUGUUUUCAGUUUCGUAGCAGAAACUAAAAAACGUUGCCGUCAUAUGCAAAUUAGACCCUGAUUCUGAUGAGGCAUUUCAGUUAGAGAAAUGACCAUAGCAUAUCCCAGAUAAAAAUGAGAUUGAGACCACCUCGCUGUUAUUUUCAAUACAAAGGCCCCUGCCACCAAAGAAUUAAACUAUAUUUUGUUAAGAGGCAGUGAAGGGUUGAAGAAUAUUGUUGUUUGUAUUGAGUUCUCCUGAUAUCGAUGACCGUGAGGCUGUUCCCUCUGAGACCUAAACACCUGUAGAUGGUACUGAAUGCUUUACGCCAAGUAAAGCAUUGGUGGCUCAUUUGACAAUUAUAUAAUAAGUACGUAAUAAUUAGAUAAUUAUUCAUGUUCGUUUUGCAGUUUUCCUAAUGAUUAUACAGUGUAUUCCUAUCGUUCCUUGUUUUGUUAAAGUCUUAAUUUAUGAAGAGAGGUCUUCUCGUUUAUUUGCUGUUGCAAGGGUUAGAAUUUGCGUCUGCAGUACAGUAGGAUUAUUCUGAAACAUUCUCUGUUGAUGUUGUCUAUGAAGGUGUUUCCUUUUAUUUUUUUUCGACUUUUAUAACUCAAUGUAUUGUGGUCUAACCAGGACCACGGGACGGUCCUAGUCCUGAAUGAGACUACUGAAAGAUGGAAGACCUCUCUACACUGUCGGCAGAAUGACUCGACCUUUCCUCUCAGUACUUUAGUGGUGAUUCCCGACAGACUGUGACCAAAGAGAAGCGCUGGUGUCCUUCCUGUCUGCGGUGGCCCGAGUCCCCCACUAGAGGGAGCUCUGCACUCCCCCCAAAGAGCACGACAACUUCUGUCAACGUGUUAGAUUUGACUCAAUAUGCAGAUGACCAAUGGAGACACCCGGUUGGUAUUAACCUGGCUUUACACCAAUCACCUCAAUGACAUUUAUGAAGAAUUUUGAAGUCGUACUGAAUUUGUACUAUUUGUAGAACUUGUAAAAUGAUGCAAGGAGAGAUGUUUGUAUUCAAUCUUGUUUUUAUAAUAUAAAUUCUUUAAUGACACAAUAAAGAUUAUAUUGUUAGAAA